CUACAAAUAAUUUUCCAUGAUUAUUUGUCUGUCUGCCUUUAACAAACACGAGUGCUUCCACGACGGACAAUCACACGGAAACAUAUAUACACGUCAAAAGUGAGAAUGCGUUUCCCAUCAAACUGAAGAGAACUAGGUCAGUAAAUUGAGGGAAGACUCCAUUGUCGAGAGCACUCACGUGACUGAGUCUCCUCAGCAAGGUCACGAGCCGAGACCUGCGCGGCCAUGAGAACGAGAACGGCCAGAAGCAGGCCGCACAGGAGGAAAACUCUGGAGGAAGCCAUUUUCAUCGCUCAAGGCUAGCGGAUCACCAGAGAAAUUUGAAGGAAGACUACCCAAGUGAGUGCGUGGCUCAACUCCGAACUGGGGCGCCCUAUUUAUAGGGUGGGAAGUGGGAGUACAGACGAGGGGGUAUGAGCUGUAGCGGGACCCACAUGAUUUGUACGGUUGUGAUUUGCUUAAAUCCGGAGGAGAUGCGGCCAAAAGGCUUCCCGUCCAAGAGUCAAAAUAAGAUUGAGUGGCGGGAGCCGCUUGUGAUAUUGUUUAAGUGCCGUGGCGAGUGGAAGUUGACGAUUCGUCACACAAGUUCUUCGAGAUCAGUACUGUCUGGAUCUCUUGCUACGAGGCAUUAUUCAUAAUCUAGGGGGGAAAAUUCAAAGAUGCGGCACAAGGAGUCAUUAUAUACUUUGUGCCCUCUCUAUUGCACCCCAACUGCUUUCACUUGACCAAUUGCGAUAGCUUCUUUUCCUGCCAAAAUAUAAUGGAAAGCUUGUGAAAGGGUCGAAAAGAACAUGAACAAAAAGUUGAUAGAGCCACGAAACAAUUGAACACGCAACAUCACUAAAUAUCGUAGCGAUAAGAUGUUACCCUUUUUCACUUGAAUUAUUAUCGUGGUAGUGGAUUAAAAUAUUAUAUUCAAGGCCGAUUCGUCUGUGUAUCUUUGUGCAUGCUGUAUCUCACAUUAAUUGCGCUUUGAGCGGUUAGGUAUGGAAGGCAUAAAGAGAACCAAAUGCCUACGUCCUUCCUCACGUCACCCGUUGUCCUACAAGGGACGGGCUCUGCACCAACACGUUGGAUCCUCAAUCUACCUCAACCACAAGUACCGGUUGCAGACGUUCGUCUUAUUUUUCCAUGCACUGCACGAUUCUCUCUCUCACUAGAUAUUAAAUUGCCGACACAAAAGUUUGAAUAAUUGAAUAGAGAUUUUUGAGAGAGCUGGACCUAUGUUGAAUCCACAAGACAAAAGAAUAUGAGUGCCUGUUCAUUUUUUUAAAGUGAAUGAUUGUUUUUGUCCAUCAUGUUAUAAUGAUAUGAAAUCUAUAUUAUUGGCAUUUCAUUUGUGAAUAAUGAUAUCGUGGUCUCAUGAUUUUGCCACCAUCCAUAUGUUACCAUUGAUGGAUGUCCCUAAAUAGAUGUAGCUUACAUAUCUGAUGUGGUUCGGUCUCUAUGUGGGACUUUGCAUCUCAAGAAAAGACUUUACCUCCAAAAUUUCCACCUAAUGAAAAUAUUGUUUGGUAAUCAAUGUAAAAUAUACUUUUAAAAGCAACUUUGGACUGACAAGCCCUAUCUUCUCUCCCAAACCCCAACCCCCUUAAAUUCAUUACAACCGUUGCCACCACUCACCGACGGCCACACCACCAUCCAGACCAGACCGAGACCUCCCCUUGUCCACUGAGAAAAUAUUGGAUGGUCUCGGAGCGCCAGGUCACCGUGCACCCCCAACCAAUGAGAAAGUGACGCGUUGCUCCACGUGAGCACGAGCGGCCCCACUGAUUUUUCUGCACAAAAUAUAUUAUUUUCUCUUUUCUAUUUAAAAAUUUACUGUCAUCGAUAGACUUGUUGCAUCUUUUUUCUCUCUUUAUCUUUUUUGGAGUAGGCCUGCACGCAUUAAUGGCGCUUUCUCUCUCCUCCAGCUUCCCUUCCCUCCUUUCUUUCCUUCUCAAUUCAAAAUUUUCGGUGAGAAUUCACUCUCUACGUUGCGUUGCUUCUCCGGCUUGUUCCGGGGUUGGGUCAUCUCUGCUCUCUGGCCCAAAGCACGUUGCUCCUCCGCCUUGCUCCGACGCUCACUCAUCUUCGCUCUCUGCCCCAAAGCUUGUUGCUUCUUCGGCCUACGUCGUUGUGUUCCUUCUCCGCCUUGCUCCAGUGUGGUUUCCGAGCGCAAGACGGUGAAGAAUGUUCUUGCUGUAAGUCGCAGACUCCAAGCGACAAGAAGUUGCAGCUCUCUCCGAUUUGGCUUCGGAUUUGCUACGUUCGUGGCUCGUAACAGUGAGUUGAUUUGGCGAAUGCUUGCUGUGACCGGCUGCACAAGCUGCUGGUGAAGAAGAUGGAGGGGUGGACCGGCAUGUGUAGCGACAAAGGUGGAGAGAGAGAGUGGAGGAAGGUGAUGGAGGCGUCGUGCGGAAAGAUGGAUGAGGAGGUUGGAGGGAAUGGGGUGGACGCGUCAAUGAGGAUGGCAAGGUUGACGGCGGUGGUGGCGGUGGUGGGGAAGGAGGUGGCGAUUUGAAACUUCCAAUACGAUUCAAUCGUUUUCAGGCGAUCAAAUUUCUAUCAUUUCAUUUCAUCCAAAUGAGAUCAUAAAUGAGGAGAGUUAUGGCUUUCGGCAUUUUGUAAGUUUGACAGUAAAGAGUGCCUGAGUGAUAUGGUUCCUGAUCAGUUUUUUUUAAGUGACAAAUGCACUAGACGUAUUAAAAUUUAUCACGAAAAUAUAAUAAAGUCUUAAAAUUUCUAAGAUUUAAUGGAGUUUUAAAAUUUAUCACAAAAAUAUAAUCAAGUCCUAAAAUUUCAAAGUUUUAAUCGAGUCCUAAAAUUUCAAAGCUUUGUAAGUUGUAUAAUUAACGGAAUGGAAAGCAUAUUAAAUUUGGAGGAUGAGCAUAGUAAUUGAAGAACGCCACCGCCUGUACGCGCUUCGUAAUUGACCGACUUGGUGGGCAUACGGUUUGCUGAGCACGAUGUUGAGGAAGUUUCGCUGGAUAGAUCUUAAGGAAGGAAUUCCGCAUGAACACGAUAGGAUCAAACUUGUCCUGAUCUUACCCUUGGUUUUCGCUUAAGGAUUCUCUCGUAUAAUGUCAUGAGUCGUAACGGCUAGAGUUAUAUGCGGUGAAAUUGACGAGGUUUAUACAUUUUUUUUUGCACGUUGAGAUUCAUUUGGUAACGUUUCUGUUUCGAAAAGUAAUUUUUUUUCAAAAAUAAUCUUUUUCAAUUUCUAUUCAUCGGAAUAACUUUUCAAUAAAAAAAGAUGUUUAGUAACUACACAAAAUUUCUAUUCUCAGAAUAGUAAAAGAAUAGGAAUAUAUUCGGUACAAUUCACAAAAUUUAUUAUAAUGUAGAAUUUCUUUUUCUUGGGAUUCAUUUAGUAACGCUUCUAUUUCGGGAAACAAUUUCUUUUCAAAAAUAGUCUUUUUCUAUUUCUAUUCCCUAAAUAACUUCUCAAUAAAAGAACGCCUUUAGUAACUAUACAAAAUAUCUAUUAUCAUAAUGGUAAAAUAAUAUGAAUAUGUUUGGUACAAUUCACAAAAUUUAUUAUAAUAUAUAAUUUCUUUUAAUUUUUUCCUUAUUCUUCCUUACGGCCAUUGCCGAUGACCACCGAUGACGCCGCCCGCCACUCGUCACCAUUGGUCACCGUGGAUCUGUAGUCAACCGCAGUUGUUGGUGGUAGUGAACAACGGGCAGCGGCAAUCGGUGGCGGCAGGCGGUGUCGUUGGUGGUCAUCCAUGGUGGGGGUGGUCGGCGGCAGCGACAUCGACAAUCAUUGGCGACGACAACAUUUGGCAACGAUAGCAGUAGGUCAACAAUGGUGGGCAACGAUGGUUGGUCAGCGGUAGGUGACAGACGAUAGAGGGGGGUGGCAGUCAAUAAAGAAUAAAAGAAAAAAAAAUGAAAAUGACUUAUUUCUAUAAAUUAUUUUCAAGAAUAAGAAAUUACUUUUUUCUACUUCUUGUUUUUAUUCAAAAUCUAUUCCUCAACCACUUUUCUAUUUCAGGGAUUAAAAAAAUUAAUGACGUUACGAAACGGAUUUUUAUUUUUUUUGUUCUAAGGAACAGAAGAGUAGAAAUUAUGAAAAUAGAAACGUUACCAAAUAGGGUCUUGAUGGUUAGAUGGGAUAAGAACAAACGACAAUAUGCCAAUUUGCCGACUAGAAAAUUAUAUAUUGUAUCUUGCAGCAAUGUGCUCCAUCACUAAUUGUAAAAAAGAAAAUUAUCAAAACAAUUCUAAACUUAUUGCAAUUUUUUUCAAUUUAAUAAUAAACUUUUUUUUGUCAAUUCAAUUUUAAAUAUUUUGCAUUUGUGCUAAUUCAAUCUAUCCUAUCAAUUUUGGUAAACGGGUGCUAAUAUGGAUGCUAGUCGACAAUGGCUAUUUAGUCAACGCUGAUGUGUCACUUUUUAAUAUAUUUUUAUUUUUUCUCUCUAUUUUUUUUUCUCUUUUCUUCUUCCGUUGGCCAGUAGCUAGAGGCUAGGGCUAGUGAGGUCGACCUCACGAUGCUAACCAAGGUCUCGCCUAGCCAAAUUUGGGCAAUCUCGACCUUGCCUAGUGAUAACGAGGCUAGCCUUUACCUUUUGCCCUUGCUGUUGUGGUGCUGGCCAAGGUCUCGCCCAACUAGAUUUGGGUGAGGACGAGCCUCACCAUGAUUGGACAAGCUCAACCAGCCCUCACCCUCGCCGACAUGGAGCUUGCCAAGCCAUAUUUGAGCGAACUAAACCUUGCCCUCGCCACCCCCUAGUCCAACCAAUGAGAUUGACUUUGCUGGCCUUUAGUCUUUGGAUCAGUGAGAAGAAGGAUAAAGGAGAAAAUGAAAAAUUAAAUAAACUAAAAAAUUGAAACGAUUGAGUUGACAUAAAUAUUAAAUAUUUAAAAUUGAAUUAAUAAAGGAAUGAUUUAGGGUCAAACCGGAAAAAAUGCAAUAAAAAACUUGAUGAUGACUUGAGUAGAAAAUGUGAUGAAGUCGGCAACAUGUCCUUUUCGGAAUUGGCGUGCCGUUGUUAGUCAAUAUGGCGAAGUCCUUUUCUAUUUUUUUAAGUUUCUUUGGUCAAUAAAGACAGCUUCUUCACGUUGGCCAAAGAGGAAUUGGUGGUGAUUAAGGGCACAUUUAGUAACGAUUUUAUUCCCAACAACAUAUUGUGAUUUGAAAUUAUUAUUUUUUAUUUUGUUCCCGAGAACAAUUUUUAAGCAUUUUAAACUGUUUGGUAACUAUCCAAAAUUUAUGAUUCUGGAAUAAAAUUGUGUUUGGUACCGUACUCGUUGAUUCUGUUCCAAAUCAAUUUCUUUUCAUUUUUAAAUAAUUUUUUUUACUUUUUACUUAUUUUCUUUUUAUUUCAUUUUUUUCUUUUUUUUUUCUUUCUUUUUUUUCCUUUUUCUCCUAUUCUUCUUCUUCUUAUGGCCGAUCGCCAGUUCGGCGAUCGGCCAGACGAGGACCGGCAACCUCAUCGGAGCGUUGUCGGCCCUUGUCGGCCGAGCCUCGCCAAUAGUUGGGCGAGGCUCACCUAACCCUGCCAAGGCUCGGCCUCACCAACUCAGCCUCACCAGCAGCCAGGUUGACCUCGCUGGGCUGGGUGGGGCUGGGNNNNNNNNNNNNNNNNNNNNNNNNNNNNNNNNNNNNNNNNNNNNNNNNNNNNNNNNNNNNNNNNNNNNNNNNNNNNNNNNNNNNNNNNNNNNNNNNNNNNUCAAUUUAAUGGACAUUAACAAAUGACCAGAUGAGUUUAGAUACAAUAUGUAAUGACUUAAUUGAUAUGCAAUACCCACAUUCAGCAGAUCUGUUAAUUAGUACAAUCAGUUUGGUCACAGGUUCUUAAGACGUCCAUCAUUCAAAGGUUACCAGCAUGUAAAGGAGUAUGCAUGAGUAACCAAAAGUUUCAUAACCUUUUGCCGUUUCUCAUCACUUCAAUACAUAAUUCAAUUAUUAUCCCAUAAUGGUUGUAUCUCAUUAAGCCAACUUCAGUUCACAAUAAAUUUUAAUUUUUAUUAAUGAAUCACACCAUUAUAAUGUUUAUAUGAUAACAUACCUGUAAUCCAACACUUGUAUUUCCAAAAUCACAGAAAAUACAAGAAAAAUACGCAAAAAUACACUAAAAAUACACGUAUUUAGGGAUUUGUAUGUAUUUUCACAUCCAUAAAAUCAUCAAACAUAUAAAAUAAAUACACCACAAGAUAGAGAAUGAACAUGCGAAUCCAACGCCGCCAGCCAUGCGCUGAUCUGAUGCUCCACGAGCCUACACGCACCACCUAAGUGCAUGGCACGUGGAGCCCAUGAGCUAGCGUAUCUUAACCGGUCAAAACCGGUCCAACCGGUAGCGGUCCGAUCGGUUCCCGAUUCAACUAGUUGACCGGGUCGGGUCGGGUUGGCCGCCAAUUGGGUCCCGGUCGCUAAUGUCACUAUGGCGUUAGCAUACGUGCGUGUGUCGCACAUGCAAGCUGCGCCUCGCACGUGAGGGCGUGUGACCGCGCGUGACCACGCGUGGGGCGCGUCUCCUACACCCUGACAGCNNNNNNNNNNNNNNNNNNNNNNNNNNNNNNNNNNNNNNNNNNNNNNNNNNNNNNNNNNNNNNNNNNNNNNNNNNNNNNNNNNNNNNNNNNNNNNNNNNNNNNNNNNNNNNNNNNNNNNNNNNNNNNNNNNNNNNNNNNNNNNNNNNNNNNNNNNNNNNNNNNNNNNNNNNNNNNNNNNNNNNNNNNNNNNNNNNNNNNNNNNNNNNNNNNNNNNNNNNNNNNNNNNNNNNNNNNNNNNNNNNNNNNNNNNNNNNNNNNNNNNNNNNNNNNNNNNNNNNNNNNNNNNNNNNNNNNNNNNNNNNNNNNNNNNNNNNNNNNNNNNNNNNNNNNNNNNNNNNNNNNNNNNNNNNNNNNNNNNNNNNNNNNNNNNNNNNNNNNNNNNNNNNNNNNNNNNNNNNNNNNNNNNNNNNNNNNNNNNNNNNNNNNNNNNNNNNNNNNNNNNNNNNNNNNNNNNNNNNNNNNNNNNNNNNNNNNNNNNNNNNNNNNNNNNNNNNNNNNNNNNNNNNNNNNNNNNNNNNNNCUAGACAGCCUCAUAUUAGACUAAUUAAGAAAUUUUCUAUCUGACCUUAGAUCAACCCUGUGUUUACGGUAACUGUAAAAAAAGUAAAUUAUAAUAUCAAUUAAUGUAGUCCAUAUUAGGAAAUUUUUUACGUAUCCAUCUCUCCAAACCCCCAAAUUGCCCCUCAAUUUGCCCUCAAAACUGCUCCUUUGCAGGAUCUCAAUCCUUGUGUACGAUCACCAGGACAAGCUGCUAUUGCAGGUUGGGCAUGUUUAUUCGGUUUCCUGUGUCGAAUUUGAAUAAGAAUUGAGGUCGAUGUUGAUGUCUAUUCAUGUUACUGCGAGAGUUUGUUUAUUUUCACGGGUUCCUGUUAUUUUCGAAUUAGUUGCAAUUGAUUUCAUUUCAUUCGUGUUGGAAUCGAGGAACUGUGCUUGUAGGGGCACCCGAAGCGGGUCCUGCUUCUCUAUCCGUGCAUGCUUUAUCUCUACGUCGACAUGAUCGUGGGGCUGAGCAACGCCGCCGCGCGCUGUCCUCGGCGUCGAGCUUCAGAUGCCCUCCGACGAGCCCUACCUUUCCAUGUCGUUCCAAGAUUUCUGGGGCCGGAGGUGGAACCUCACCGUGACCAACGCCCUGCGGCACACCGUGUACAAGCCCCUGAAGUCGUUCCUCGAACCGCACUUGUGGGCCGCAUGGGCGACGGCGGCUGCAGUCAUGGCAGCGUUCCUCGCGUCCGGGCUGAUGCACGAGUUGCUGUACUAUGACGUGACACGUGCGAGGCCUACUUGGGAGGUGACGGGGUUCUUCGUGCUGCAGGGGGCGUGCGUGGUGGUGGAGGUGGCGGCGAAGGCGGCGGUGGGGGAGAGGUGGAGGCUGAGCAGGGCGGUGUUGACGCCGCUGACGGUGGGGUUCAUGGCGGCGACCGCCAUGUGGCUGUUCUUCCCGCAGCUGAUCAGGAAACGGGGCGGACGCGAGAGCCAUUAAAGAGUGCAAGGCUUUCGUGGAGGGGCUGAGGCCCAAGUUCUGACACGCGGUACGAGGCAUUUGGGGUAUAUUUAAUGUGCACAAUGUUGUUCUUACGAAAUCGGUUAAUCACAUUUCAAAAAUUUUCAAGCUAACAUUGGUCCUCAGUUACUGGGAAAAAAAANNNNNNNNNNNNNNNNNNNNNNNNNNNNNNNNNNNNNNNNNNNNNNNNNNNNNNNNNNNNNNNNNNNNNNNNNNNNNNNNNNNNNNNNNNNNNNNNNNNNNNNNNNNNNNNNNNNNNNNNNNNNNNNNNNNNNNNNNNNNNNNNNNNNNNNNNNNNNNNNNNNNNNNNNNNNNNNNNNNNNNNNNNNNNNNNNNNNNNNNNNNNNNNNNNNNNNNNNNNNNNNNNNNNNNNNNNNNNNNNNNNNNNNNNNNNNNNNNNNNNNNNNNNNNNNNNNNNNNNNNNNNNNNNNNNNNNNNNNNNNNNNNNNNNNNNNNNNNNNNNNNNNNNNNNGCUCUCACUAAUAAAAAAAUUGCCCUUUGAAGCUCGAUAAAAUUACAUUCCUACUGUCAUGAGUUUUCAGACAACCAUUUCGCUCCAUUUUGUCGGAGAUUGUAUCGUUACUCUUUCAAAUAAUGUUAUACUAGGACCAGUCUACUAUAACAUGAAGACAUCAAGUUCUUAUGCUUAGAAUCGUUGGAUCAUCACAAUUAAAUUUCAGCCAUUGAUCAUUAACGGUUGAGAGUCAUUAUUGGAGAUGCCUCACAGCAUAAUAGCCUAGUUCAUCUAACUAGGUUGUCAAGAAAUUUGUUGAACUAGAAUUUAGGUUCAGAGAAUGUUUAUGCUCCAUGGUAGAUGCUCAUUCCUUUAGAGCGAUGCAAAAUUGAAUAAAAAGUGAGGAUGUAAUUACAGACAGCUUAAGUUAGGGGACUGCGCAAAUAAAAUCAAAUCUGAGGACUCAAUAGAAAAAAGAGUGCAAGUUGCAACGAUCCACAAGUGGUACUCUUUUGGGGAAAACUCCAUCUCAACUUUAUUCCCGUUAUCGUCCUGCAUAUGUCCCUUUAUACUUCCUCUUUUUUUGUUUUUUUUUUUAUCAAAUAUUUCCCUCACUUUAGAGUCCUCCAAUUUGCACUUUAAUUUUCGUUAAUAGAUUUCGAUUGGACCAAAAUGCCACUAGUCUUUAAAAAGUGCCAAACGUACUUUCUAAGCCCACCUCGAUCUUCUUUUAUUGAGAGAAGGUAACAUACGGCACAGUAUUCAAUGGUUAGGCAGCAUGACAUCAUAAGCUAACUUUAGCAUUAAUUUUUUUUUUCGAAUCCAAUAAAAAUUGAUACUUGUUCAUGACGUGGCACAUAAAUGAAAAAAUCUUUCUCUGGUCGCAACAGUGGGGGAAUCUCUCUUUCUUUGCCCUGUUCUGUUGCAGCAAAUGGACGAGCCGCAACAAAGUGAGUGGCUUGGCCAUGGACGGCAACGACUGCGAGCCACGGCAAUGACGAAGGGAUGGCUCGGCCAUGGAUGUGCGGUAGUGGUCGGCUUGGAUGCAGUGCCGGCGACUCUGCUGGUGACUCUGAUGGAGGGAGUGGCCGUGGAUGGAGAAUGAAGAAGAGACCAAAAAAGAAGGGCUGGUUUUUAAUUCUUUUAUUUGUUUGCCACGUCAUAGACAUGUCAAUUAUUCAUUGGAUUUCAGUACAAAAAUGCAUGCCACAUCAGCUUAUGAUGCGAUUUUAACUAACCACCGAAUAAUUUCUAGCAAUAUAUCAAAAAUUAUAGAAAUAGCUUAGAGUGCGUUUGAUUGGAUUUCUAGGGAAAGUUUUGGGAAAAUGCAAAAGAUUUUAAGUUAAAAAAGUUUUCAAAAAUGAAAAUUAUGUUUGUUAAAUUAUAAUUUAAAAAUCCAUUGUGAAGUACUUUUGAGUAAAAUAGUACUUGGAUAAGGAUUUUAAUUAUUUAAAAAAAGAAAAAAAAAACAAUUGGCCCUUUGCCGACUAAGGGUAGGCCAUCGCCGACUAAGGGCAGGCCAUCGCCGAUAAUCCAGAUCUAUUGUCGAUAACUGUCGUCUAAGGUCGCAAGACCUCAAACAGCCCCUGGAGACCAUUGGCGAGGGCCACUUCGGGUCGAGUGACCCUAGCGCGGGUCAUGUGCUACUAGGGGUCAUGUGACCUACGUAACCCCUUACAACUUCGAAAGUCACUUGAACCCGACGAGGGCUAGUUGGGUCAUGCGACCUUCAUAGCCGUAACAACUUGCAUAACUCGUUACAGCUCAGAAGGUCACUCGAAUCCAACAAGGGCCAGUUGGGUCUUGUGACCUACGUAACCCCUUAUAGCUUCAAAGGUCACUCCAACUCGAUGAGGGCUAGUUAGUUCGCGCAACCCUCGCUAGGGGUCACUUGACCCCAACAAGGGCUAGUUGGGUUUCUUAACCCCAAGUAGCCCCUUGCCGAGGUCAUGUGACCACCGAGGGUUGUCUGCCGUCUAGAUUAGGCGACCUCGUCCAGCCUUGUGAUGGUCAUGCAACCUAGAUGAUACUCACCUACACGGUCGCUUGGGUCGCUCCGACUAGGGGUGAGCAAUUUCAGGUUCCGAUUCGAUUCCGUCUAGAACCUGGAAUCUACCCUCGGGUAUAGAUUCCUCAUUUUUUGAAACCUGAAACCUACCCUCGGGUACAGGUUCCUCAUUUUUUGAAACUAGGAACUUACCCGUCAGAACCAAGAAUCUCGAACCUACCCUGUCAAGAGUUCCAGGGUCGGUUCUAGGUUCCUACAGGUUUUUUUUUUUUUUCACUUUUAGAUUUGAACUACAAUGUACGCGCUUUACCAAAAAAAAAAAAAAAACUAUAACGUACGCACAUACUCUACGAUAACUUCCCACAUCUUAGCAAACAUAGUAUAUACCAAUGCCAACUGCCAAGAAUUUGGACAUACAUAAUCAAAACCAAUAAGAAGUUUCCAAAGAGGAAAGGAGGGGCUUGAUUAACUAUAUUAUUGUGCCCACAUAAGUCAAUAUAUGUACACUAAAGUUUAAAUCGUCACAUUUGCUAUAUGUCAUAUGCCUUAUCAACUGAGUCAAAUGAAAAUGAUUAAGCAAAAUAUACUAAGAAGAUGAAAAACCAGAAGUGCCAACAAGACGAUGAAGCACAUGAAAAUGAUGAAGCAAAAUNNNNNNNNNNNNNNNNNNNNNNNNNNNNNNNNNNNNNNNNNNNNNNNNNNNNNNNNNNNNNNNNNNNNNNNNNNNNNNNNNNNNNNNNNNNNNNNNNNNNCAACAUUUCCCUAUGAUUCCUUUAGCACAGCAAACCCUGCAAAGACAUGGAUAAAAAUCAAUCAAAAUCCUAAGUAAAGACACAUCCAAAAAUCAAUAUCGAUAAUACUCCAUGAAGCAUGUCAUUUUGCCCAUCUAAAGUCUCCUAAAUUCUUUAACAACAUAGUUCAAAAAUUCAAUGUACAUAAGAGUAGCCUGCAUUAAGAUUACGAUAAACAAAGUUGCUCAUCAAUCAACUUCUGCGUAGUUAAAGCAGCACAAAGCCAACAAAAAACCUUGCUUGACUUCUCAACCGCUGGACCCAUUAUAGAUGUGACACCACCAACUCUAAUUAUCGACGAUAAUCUUCGCAUUAAGACCAACCAUAUCUAAAGAAGAAGAAGAAGAAGAAGAAGAAGAAGAAGAAGAAGAGGUUAAAUAAAAUAUUCACUUAUCAGAUUUACAAAAAGAAUUACAAUAUAUAAAGAUAUAAAUAUUAUUUACCCAACUAAAAUUGUUCUGCGUUCUCGAUACACUCUUCAACAUCAAGUGGUACACGAACGGCUCUCAACCAAUCUUGAGUGCAAAUCAAAGCUUCCACUACUUUGAGAGUUAAAGAACUUCGAAAGCCAUCAAGCACACGACCCGAUGUACUAAAAGUUGACUCUGAAGCAAUGUUAGUUACAAGAAUGGACAAAAUAUCUCGAGCCAUCAAAGAAAUGAUCUUAUAUUUUGAGCCAUUAGUCUUCCGCCAAAUCAAAAUGUCAAGACCAAGAUCAUUUUCAUGUUUUUCUUGAAGAUACUCAUCAAGCUCGGACUUGUUGUUAUUGCACCCUUGUUUAUUCGAGUAUAAAAACAUUUUCUUCCAAGCUUGGUUGUCAUAUUUCUUUAUUCCUUCAUUACCACCCAUAUCGGUAUUGGAAUUGGAACUACUACUACUUGCACCUAAAUUAUGGUCACCAAAAUCUUGAUCACUUGAAAUAAGAUAAGAUUGUUCAUAAAAUUCAUACAAACGCUCCAAUGCAUCCUUUACCUUGUAAUGCAUCUCUUUAAUUUUCGAUUCAUCAUCAUAAAUUUGUCCAUACAAGAAACUCACAUAAUUUAACUUGGCUCUAGGAUCUAACACAAUCGCAAUCAACACCAUUAUAUUCACUUUAUUCAAACUUUCAUAAUAUUUGUCAAAUUUUUCUUUCAUUUUCACACCCAUAGCUUGAAACUUAUGAUCCGAAGCAUUAACCACAUCUUUCAAAUAUCUAUACAAAAGAGCUAUCCUUUCAAAAUAAUCAUUUGAAGUAACAUAUGAAGUCCUAGACAUUUUAUUGGUGGCAUUAUAGAAUACUUUUAGAAAAUCCGAAAGAAUAAUAGCAUUUUCUCAAUCAUCAUCACUAGGAGUUUCAUGAUUAAGCUCACUUACAAAAGAUAGAUCGUGAUCUUCCAUCCUUUCGAAAGCUUUUCUGAACUUUAUGGCGGUGUCUAACAUGAGGUAAGUGGAGUUCCAUCUAGUGGCAACGUCAAGAACUACUGAACCCUUAUAAGUGAACUUUUCUCUCUCAAUGCAAGAUUGAAAUCCUUGGGCUCUCAUGGGAGAACUCCUUACAUACAUAACCACAUUUCGAAUACGUGCAAUUGAGUCAAAUGCCGUACUCAAUCCAUCUCUCACAAUCAAAUUUAAUAUAUGAGCUGUACACCUCAUGUGCAAAACACUACCAUCUAAUAUCAACGACCUUUGUUUCGAAAAUUUUUGCCUCAAAUAGCUAAUUGCAACAUCAUUCAAGCUAGCAUUAUCCACGGUAAUUGUGGACACCUUUUUUUUUUUUUUUUCUAUUUCCCACUCCUCAAUGCAUUUCUCCACCAUUUUCUCAAUCUCCUUACCCCUAUGACUAUGCAUCACCACAAAGUUGAUGAUUCUUUUAUGCAACUUCUAAUUUUCAUCAAUAAAAUGUGCAAUGAGACACAAAUAAUUCAGAUUUUGAUUGGAACUCCAUGUAUCAGUCAUGAGUGCGAUCCUAGAAUUAAUCUUUCCAAAAUAAUUCUUCAAAGAAGUUAUUUCACAUAAAAACAACUUCAUGCAAUCUUUUACCAUUGUGAAACGUAAUACAUGUUUGAAGAGAGGUUGUAACUCAGUAACAUAUUCACGAAAUCCAACACACUCAACCAAAGAAAAAAGUUUGCUCAUCAAGGAUGAUGAACCGAGUAAGCAUGUGCCUACAACAUUCUUGAUUAAAUGAUCAUAUCGAUAAGACGCUACCAGUACUAGAAUCUUCUCCUGCCUUGCCAGCCAUGUUGACAUUACGUGGUGCAAAUAAUUUAUGCAUCUUAUCUACAUUAUGAUGAAACCUCUUGCAUGUGGUCAAGUGCUUCCUCAUUGCAGAAGUACCGUUAGCAACAUGGUACUUAAGCAUGCACCCACAAUGAAUACACUUCACUUGAUAUAUUUUUUCAUCCUUAUCAUUGAUUCUUGAAUAAUGAUUCCAGCAUUCAGAUGUAUAUUUCUUAUUAUGAGGAAGGUGAGAACUGGGUACCUUAUUUGUGGCACUCGAGGUAAAGGGUGCCUUUUCUUCAAUUUCAUCGCCAGAAAACUCCUAUUUCGUAAUCGGAGUCAUCUCCUCACAUCCCUCCACCUCCAUUGACGUGUUAUCUUGACACAUUAAUUUCGCACUACACAACAAUAAUAGAAUAUAAUUAGACAUUUCAAAACAGAAUGUGAAUUGAGUUAUAGAAUAUGUAGGCAGCUACUAAAAACCAAAUCAAUACACAACUUUCCCCUCAAAAAACGCUCUUAAGUAUUGUAGACAAUUAGCUUUUACUAAAUGAUAAUAAUCUGUGUAUUUUCAUAGAUGAUAACUCGUGCGCAAAUGACACAAGCUAAAAGGAGUCAAAUUUGAUCAUGCAUAUAUCCAUUAUGCAGCACAUUGUUAUCCUUCUCUUAUAUUACCUCUGCAAUUAAGGACCAGUAAUCUAGAAAAGCCACCCAAAACAAAGAAGUUAAGCAUCUAGAUUGCCAAAAUUCAAAAACAUCGGCUUGCCCAAAACAAAGAAUUGAUCAGAGCAGUUUCAUUGAGCAAGUAGUCAUAGACCACAACUUGCAUUUCUUUUCUUGUUCCAUUAAAUUGUGAAGGCAAUGACAACUUUGUUUUAUGUAGAAGUACCAGCUUUACUUGAGCAGGUUACAGAAGAAAAAUGAACUAAAAUUUCUAAUGGGGGGAUGAAGCAUUCGGAUCUAAACCCACAAGAUGCUACCACUGGUAUAAUGAUGCUAUCAGAACUCCAUCAAUUUGAAAUUGUUAGCAUAAUGAUUUGGUACAUUAGAACUCCAUCAAUUUCUAGCAAAAUGAUGCUACAAAAUACAAAUGGCAACUCAAAAUUUGCUGCCAACAACUUGCUUAUCCAGAAUUUGAACUCCAAAAACAAUGAAAUUGACACCAGAGGGACUAUAAUCACUGAGCAAUCUAGUCUUAGAAAUUAGGAAUCAAUCACUCACUCCCUCCACUGGAGCAGGAAAUGAAAUUCACAGCAUUUGAUGGUAUUACCCCGAGAUCGUACUCUUGGAGUGAACUUCCAGAAAUCCAAUUUCACUGGGUGAGCGGCGUCCGGCGCUGAGCAGGGACGUCGGUCGCUGGUCUUUGGGGCAACAACGUCAGGCAUCGCGACUGCUGGCGUCGGGUCAUUAGAGCAGAGGCGGAGACGGCAGUAGCGGCGUCGUGGGUAAGAAUCAGAAUCCUAGUGACCAACAGCUAUGAUCGAACGGCUGAGGAUGGAAUCGCGGCAGGAACGGUGGUUUCUGGCGUCUGGUUGCAGCGGCGGUGGAGUAAAGGAGGACCCAACAGCAGGGGCGUCGGGGCUUUUGGCGCGAGCAGGGACGUCGGUCGUUGGUCUUCGAGGCAAUGGCGACAGGCAUCACGACUGCUGGCAUCGAAUCAUUGGAGCAGAGGUGGAGACAGCAGCAAUGGCGUCGUGAGUCAAAAUUGGAAACCUAGUGACUAGUAGCUAGGGGUGUGCAUAGUCCGGGCAGGCGGUUCCUGACCUAGAAACGGAAACCGCUCGCUAAGGACCGGUUCCGAAAAAUUGGAACCGGGAUCCAUUCAUUUGUUGCAUGGAUCCAUCUGGGAACCAGACCGUCGAUCUGGUCCAGUUCCCGAGUGGAUCCAUGGAGCCGAUCUUGACGCGAAGGUGAGCUGUGGCGUCGCGGUCACGGGCGAGCGGGCAAAGGGCGCUCGUGGCUGCUGGCGCGGUGGUCAGCGCGGAGGCGAGCUAUGGCGUCGCGAGUCACUAGGGUUUUGACAUCAGGCGACAGAUGAGCUCGAUAGAUCGGGCUACGUCCGUUCGCCUCGCGCAAAUCCGAGCCGAGAUCCUUGGGAAACCGACCCCAUAUCGGAAAAGUCGAGAACAAAGGGGGACGAAAUCUACCGUGAUUUUGACGCGAAAGAGAAGUCGAGGUGGGUCGUUGGCUACGGUUCAAGCGUGGUGGUCAACGGCAACUCUUCCUCACACUCUACCCUUACUCACAGCUCUCAGAUCUCACUCGAUCUCCCCCUCUCUUUUCAACGUCUCACAUAUCUCUCUCUCUCUCUCUCUCUCUCUCUCUCUCUCUCUCUCUCUCACACACACAUCAUCUCUACUUGACCCCCUUCAUUGAACUCCAGGAGGCCCUAUUUAUAGGCUUAAGGGUCCGGUCGAUAGGGGCAUUUCCACUGUCGAUCCUGGGCACGCCGACCGGCCUCCCUCUUGGCCGAACCGGCAUCUCAACUUGUCUUCUCCGCGUAGGCCUGCUCGGCAUCGAAGGCGUCCGCCAAGACGUCCCCUCCGUCCGGGUUUCUCACCGGAUCUCACGCUGCUCUGUUCGGCAGCAUUGAUGUCUCCUACGAGGCGUCCCCUCCGUCGUCGGUCUACCCUCCUCUCUCUCUACCCUAGGUUGUCCUACGUGCCUUUGGUCUUCACCGAGCGUGGUGUCCACUGUCUAGCACGAGGAAGGAAGGAGGAAGAUGAAGAGGAGAGGCCCGGACUGCGGAAAAGAUGAAAAAUGGAUUGGGCUAGCUCGUGUGAGGGAAAAGAAGAAAAGAGGGGAAAAGAGGGAAAAUGGUCCGAUAUCGCUAGGGUUUGUUUUAGUAUAUAUUUUUUAAUAUUAAAUAUUAAUCGGUCCGGUCCGGGUGGGCGGGUGGGCAGAUCCGCCCAUGGAAUUGGGAACCGGACCGGUACCCACCAGUUCCCAUAAAUUGGAACCGGGAACCGGACCGGUUCCCUCAAGAACCACCGGUUCCGAGGGUUCCGAUCCGGUUUCGGGCUAUCCGAGCGGUUCCUGGGUAUUUUGCACACCCUUACCAGCAGCUACGAUCGGACGACCUGAGGACAGAAUCACAGCAGGAACGGUGGCUUCUACCGUCUGGUUGCAGCGGCGAUGGAGCAAAGGAGGACCUAGUAGCAGGGGCAUCGCGACUUUUGGCGCGAGCAGAGGCGGUGGGUCGCGAGCGGAGACAAGCUUGGCUCAGAUCUGCCUGCGUCGGGUAGUUGUGGCGGGCAAGAGUCAAAGCGGCAUUGGCGACAGGUAGAGGCAGAGCACGGCAGUGACGGGCGUCGAGCAGCAAGGGUUCGUGCGAGCGACGUCGGCGACUAGCGUCCAGCAACGAUGGCCUUGAGGGCGAGCGGCGUCCGGCGGCGAAACUCAAAGCGGCGUCUAAUAGCGUGAGUUCUCUCCCAUAAAUCUGAAAGUCUGGACUCGGGAGCGCCGAGCAGGGGAGGGGGGCUCCUUUUUGAACCCUAACUAACCAGUUCCGGUUCCGGUUCCGAUUCUGCGACUGAUUCCGGUUCCGGUUCCACGACCGGUUCCAAUUCCAAUUCCCAGAAAAAAGGAACCGAGAACCAGAAUCUAGGAACCGGAACCGGUCCUUUAAGAAACCGAAAACCGAACCAGAACAGUGCUCACCUAUAGCUGCAACCCUGCCGGCCUCUCUUUAGCUUGUUGUUGGCCUCUUGUAGCCACAUGCAACCACACCGAUUGACCCCAAUGGAGAAAAAGAUGAACAAGCACAAACAAGGGUCAAACUGGAAAAAAAAAACGAUCAGCGUGGAUAGUUUUGGAAGAUUUUUUUUUUUUAACAAACCCUAGGCUUCUUGCAUGCCGAGAAGGCCGACUUUUCCUCAAGGUGGGUGUCAAGAAUUUUACCAAACACCCAAUAUUUGAUCCGAAGAGAUAUGGAUGCCUAAAGUCCCUUCCCAAAGUCUUUUCUAGACGCAACCUUAAUAACUAGCCCCACACAAGUUAUAAAACCGGGUCCUUUGCGCAUGGUCUUGUAUGCCGAGACUCAGACGUUCCGGCCGUUCAAUAGGACCGAGGCAUCGUGCGACCUUUCUGCCUAAUGAACGAAUAGAUUAACACAAUCUUGUUUGAUGUUGUUUGAGGCGGGAUUAAGGUCGACGGGUAGCACGCAGUGACAGGGGUUAUAAACUUGCACCUGGCCAAUUUCCCCGUCCCUGCGGACGAGCACCAGGAGAUCUUGGAAGACGCUCGAGUUGCCACUAGACCGAACAAUGUUGAUUUGAACCGGAUCGUGCAUUUUCGUGUCGCUGUCUCUGCAUUCGUUUGAAGACCUGUCAAGCAGUAUCACUUCUCCGGCGAGAUGGUUGGAUGAGCCGACGGAGAUGCUUACGUUUGGUGAGUCAAAGAGGACGUAUGUUCAAUCAAACUGGAGGAAUUUGAAGACGAUUCUUCGUUUGUUCGCAUGCCUUUCAAGCACGUCUUCCGUAGGGAGUGUAUGGCUGAGUGCUACGAGAGGAGAAACUUAAUACUUAUGUCCACUUCGCUGCCCCGAAGCUAUGCACACUUAUUAGCUAAUUAAUUCUAUUUGUUUAUCCCCUACAUUCACAGUUAAUAGGGAAAAUGAUAAUUACAAGCGCCUUUGAACCGAGUAGAGAUGUACAUUUCUUGUAUAAUAAUUUCAUUGCAAGCCAGACUUUUUCACUCUUUUUGCUCAUUUCUUUUACUGAUUACAUGUUCGCAUCGUUGGGAAGUACUAUGAUUCCGCAAGAUGUUUCAAAUAUAUGCCUUUUUCCAUAGAAUGCAUAUCCAUCGGCCAUCAGUACAUGAAGGUAUCUAUAAAUACUAAACAGGGGCAGUAUCAUCUUCCUUGACGUAUAGAGAGCUCGGAGCUUUAUUAUUCACACGCUUUCCCUUACAUAGUGCACUAGCUAGGAGGAGCAACAUAUGGCACUUCAGUAGUUUUCUAGUUUUUUCGGGGUAUUUUACUUUCUUCUUUCUGUCGGCCGUCGUGACAAUGCUACUUCCCAUGAUCACUGGGGCCGCCAUGGCUGCCAUGCCCACGCCCUCUGGUCAUCGUCGUCAUCGUCAUUGUCAUCGUCGUCGUCAUCAUCAUCGUCACCGUCGUCGUCAUCAUCAUCAUCAUCAUCAUCAUGGUCGUCGACGUCGCGAUGGACAGAAGCACUACGGCUGUACCCCUUCCCAAGACUACCGUGGCCUUUCCCGAGCCCAUAUUCCUUCAUGCUCUCUUACAUGCGCACAAAAAUUCAACAGAUUAUAUAUAUAUAUAUAUAUAUAUGAAGUAUGUAUACAGAGAAGAUAGAUGAAGUAGUGUGGAAACUUACGAGAUGAAUUAGUCUCCUCGANNNNNNNNNNNNNNNNNNNNNNNNNNNNNNNNNNNNNNNNNNNNNNNNNNNNNNNNNNNNNNNNNNNNNNNNNNNNNNNNNNNNNNNNNNNNNNNNNNNNUGGGCGUUGCGAGGCCAAGCUCCGCCUGGCCAAGCGGGCCUCCACCUAGCCACGACGAGCUCGCCGGACGAUCCAGCGACCGGCAGCGGCGUACGGUGGGGGACCGCCGGCGGACGGUGCGGACGGUGCGGCGGGAUGGCGAUCAAUGGCGGCGGGACAGCGAUCGAUGAAGAAGAAGAAAAGAGAAGAAGAGAGAAUAUAAGAAUAAAAAGAGUUGGUUUUGAUUCUUUGAUUUGUUUACGGAACAAGAAUCAACUUUCUUUUUUAUUCUUGAUUCUGUGCCAAAUAUACUUUCGGGAACAAAAAAAUAGAAAUUUGUUCCCGGGAACAAAAAAUUUACCAAACGCGAUUCUAUUCAAAAACUAUUCCUGAAAACAAAAAAUCAGAAUCGGGUACUAUUUGGAUGAUUACCAAACAGCCCCUAAGUAGUUUAAUAUUGUGCAGCAAGCAGCUUUGAUGCGCCACCAUCAAAGCUCAACUUUAGUCCUUGUUCUGAUUUGACUGUCUGACUCACAUGAUUUAUGCCCGGACAUACCAAGGCCAGUCGAAUGUUAUACCACGUUUGGCGCAAUGAAAUAGAACGGGAAAAAAUAAAACGAAGUUGAGGAAGGAAUGGAAUAGAAGAAGCAUUAUAAUUCUUGUAGUUGCUUGUUACGAUGGAAUAAGGUAAAAGGAAUUUGUUGAUUCCUUUUUUUGGGUUGAAAAAAAUUGAAAUGGAAGGAAAUGGUAUCAAAAUGUCUAAAAUAUCUCAAAAAUGUAAUAUAUGAGGAAGAAAAUAAGGGAAGCGCUCAAAGUAAUUGUUGUGAUGAUGUUAUUAUUAUCAAGGUCAUUUUCAUGGUGGAGCCUUGAAGUGGGCAUUUUUCCUCCUUAUUUGGUGGAAUGCUCAUGUUAUGCAAGGAGGUUAUGCUCAGGGUCAAAGAGGUUAGCUUGCGAUAUACGAAACAACAAUAGACAGCAAAUAAAAAUGACAUAUCAAGAAAACAGUCGCCAAUAAAUGAGCAAUAUAGAUCGGCCUUAGUAGCAGGAUUGUUCGUAAGUACUUAUGGAUAGAGAAAGUAGCAGUAGGACGGAUGAUCACUUAUGUCAUCUAAACUUAGACUUUUCCAGUCUUGGUUAGCUGUCAACACAUUCAAUUGUGUCCUCUCUCCUUCAAUUGGGUUGAGUUGCAUAUAAAGUUUACUCUUAUUUUAUGAUAAUAACAAUUCAUGUUUCGAAGUUAAUUACUGUAUGGCUUUCUUAAUACUCCUGUUAUGAAUAUGCAUUCUAAAUCUUUCAGAAUAAAUAAUAGGGGAAAUGUAAUUACGCUCAAAAUAAAUAUUCAUAUUGGAAUAAUUUUGUUCUAUCGAACACAAUCUCAUUUGAACAACAUGAGACAAAACACGAAUUGUAGAAAGACAAAUCCGAAUGCAAUAUAACACGGUACACAAUUUCAUAUAUUAAUAAGAAUUAAUGUAUAUAACAAUUUUUCAUCCUAAUUCAAUUAUUCAAUAUUGGUGGAGGAAAUUACGAGAAUUGCUUCCAAUUAUUGAAUGCCAAUAUUUUCUCACCAGUUAGGCCCAACCGUACCACUUUCCCUUCACAUGGCUAGUACUUCUAGUUCUUAAUGAAAAGACGCAAACCAAGAACGGAUUUGCCUAUUCAUCCCGCAUAGACAGACAUCAUCAAGUUUUUUAUGGUCGAAAGACAUCAUCAAGUUAAGACGCACCAUACCUUAAGGAAAGAGAGGGGGAGCGCCUAGCAUAAGAGAGAUAGGGAAAAUGGAAGAGGAAGCACGGAACUUCAUCAACGUGUGGCUCACGGUCCUCUCGUGCGUGUGCUACUGCUACUUCGUCUCCUCUAGCCUCCCGCCGGGCAAGCUCCAGCUCUUCUCUCUCCUCCCCGUCUUCUCCCUCUUCGCCGCGCUCCCCCUCCAGCUCUCCACUGUCCUCCCCACUGGCAUCACCUCCUUCUUCAUCACUUGGCUCGCCUCCUUCAAGCUCCUCCUCUUCUCCUUCGGCAAGGGCCCCCUCUCCUCCAGUCUCGAUUCCCAUCCCGACCCAUCGAAGUCCCUCUUCCUCUUCAUACUCUUCACAUGCUUCCCUAUCAAAAUCAAGCAAGCGCAAGACUACCCUGUUGGAUGCAAAUCGCGCAAUCCCAAGAUCUCCAUAACCAGAACAAGAACAUACAUAAUUGAGUAAAAAGAUUAACAUAUCUAUUUUGGGAUCCAUCAUUCUUGAAGCGGAAGUGGAAACACAAUGUUCCACGCGCAAGUCAUUCUCCUCUAUUGCCCUCCAUAUCACUAGCUCAAUGAGGCGGUCCCCUCACGUUUAGCGUUAGGUAAACACUCAUUAGAUGAUGAUACAUAUGAGAAUUAGGGUUAGAUGAGAGACUUGAACACUAUUCAUAAUCUUUCUUUGAAAUCCUUUUAGUUUUGUAUGCCAAUUUGCAACUAAUGAACUUGUAAUCUUUAGGCAAGUUAGUAAGUUUCCAAACAUUGUGAUGUUUCAUAGAUUGUAUAUCGUCUUUUAUGGUAUUUAAUCACAUACUUGAUUGAGGAUAAGAAACAACAUUUAUUUAUGUUGCUAAAUCAACCAUGUAGUGGAUAUUGUAGUCAUGCUCUCACAAAUAGACUAUAUAAUCUAUCGAAAUAACCUAUCAUCUUUUCCUAACAAAUCUCCUGAGUAAAGCUACAACCACUCCAUUAUAUACUUGAGAGGUUUAAAAAAAAAAUUCAUCAUAAAUUAUAUCAAGAAUAGUACCUUAAACCUCAACAAGUUUAGUCUAUGAUACAGGAGAUUCCAUAAUUGUCUGUACCACAAUUAUCUGUAUAGGCAAAGACAAAGACAUAGUGAUUUUUUAUCGUACUAUUAUCCUUAAUAAUCUGAGAGCAGCUAUCAUUUACAAUUACGUCGAAUUGUAGAAACUUUACAGUAUGUGAUUCCAUAAUACUUGUACCUUCUUUAGGGUCAUAAAAUUGAUAUCCAUUUUAACAAUCUUGGUAAGAUACAAAAUAAUUCUUAGUGGAUCUAAAUUCCAAUGCCAUUGCACCUCUAAAUUUCAUAUAUAUCUAGUUUAUAACUCAAAAAAAGUUUAUGAAACAACUUUUGUAUGUGAAAAGGUUGCUUUCAAAAUAUCAGCCCAUAGAAGAUCAGAUAAAUUAGUCUUACUAAUCAUACUCAUCACCAUAUUCAAUAUGGUGCAUUCAUGCCUUUUGGCCAAAUCUUUUUGUCAGGAUUUUCAAGCAUAGUAAUUAAGUUACCACCCUAGAAUCUACCAAAUAUUUGACAAAUGACCCUUUAAGCUAUUUCACAUUGUUAUACUUGUCAAAAUACUCACGGCCACUAUUAAGCCUGACAACCUUUUAAGACUAAUUGUAAUUAUUUUAUUCUUUAUCUCGAUAAUUUUACUUCCACAAUAAUCUAUAGAAGUCUAUAGAUAACCGUUAAAAGUAGACAGAAUAUCAACAUUGUCAACUUUUCUACUCUUUCUUUAGACAUGUGUGAGAUUAUUCCUUAAAUAGAAAAUUUUCGGAAACAACCUCUUUAACCGUAUACGAGAUGUAUAUGUCAUUAGGACUUAAACAUAAUCUUUGCAAAUGUGUCCUAAAUUCAAUAUUAGACAAAACAUAAUUACAAGCCACUAAGGCUUCCAUCGUCUUAUAGCAGUGCAGUUCACAAGCAUACCACAUUUUAAGUUUCCUGAAUGGAAUGCUUCAUGGACAGUAAGCAAAUUUUAUUACUCUUUUCCCAAGCAGCAAAUCAUAUGUCCACUACUUAAAAUUUGAAGUAAUAAAAAUCUCAAUAAUAAUAGAGUUAUUAAUUACAGAAAAUGUGACUGAAAAAACAAGUAAUGUAUAUAAUUAGCAUCAUGUGAGUACCGUAUAACUUGAUAUACAAGUACACAUCUAGAGAGUUACACGCAUAAUCAUAUAAUCACAUUUGAGCAGAAUACAUAACAUGCAGUUGUACACUCCCCACGUGAAAGCAGUUAUGAGAAUAUAUUCUAAUUUUUGUUAAUUCAUCACCUUUGGACGUAUGAACCACAAGAAUCAGUCACUCCUCCACCACACCAUCAUGCAUCCCUCCGUGAACUAAUAAUACACAAUCACCUCAUUUGAGAGUAUGACAAUGCAUUAAAUUAGGAGACAUCUCAAUUAUUAUACGAGACCGAUAUUUCUCAAAUCCAAUCAAGCGUGCCACUUUGGUGGUCACUACUCAAUUGAAUCCUUAAAACUCUCUCAUACCAAGGAUAUAAACUUUACUUCUCACAUACACCAUAUACAUGUGAUUUUAACUUUAAUUAUAUGGGCAGCAUAUCACUAAAAUCCCAUAUGAUGCUAAUCACACUGCCUUAUUCAUUAAUAAAAAUUAAUCAUAUACAUAUAUAUAUAACCUGAAAGACAGACUCCAAUGAGAUCACCAAUUACAGCAACACAAGAAACUUCUCAUAACAUAGAAGCAAGCAUCUCUUGUGCACCCCGAUUAUAGAUUACCAGAACAAUAUAAAAAGAAUGCUGAUCCAGAGAAUCUAUCAAAAUUUAACAUCAAUAGCAAUAUAGGAUACCACAGAUCGACAAGCCUAACAACUGAUCAACUAUUGCUUAUGAGUUUCAUAAGGCAAAAAAUGAAUCCAAGGCCAACAACUAAUUUAUUAGCCAAUUUUUUUUUUAAGUAACAAAUUAUCAUUGUAAUCAACUAGUCGCCUAUUAAUUAAGUCAAACCAGAGAACCAAAUAUCUAAACCUUUAACAGUAGAUACUAUUACUCUGUGUAAAUGUUAUCAUACUCCUAAUCAAUAAAAAAUAUUCAACUUAAUGGACAUUAACCAAUGACCAGAUGAGUUUAGAUACAAUAUGUAAUGACUUAAUUGAUAUGCCAUACCCACAUUCAGCAGAUGUGUUAAUUAGUACAAUCAGUUUGGUCAUAGGUUCUUAAGACGUCCAUCAUUCAAAGGUUACCAGCAUGUAAAGGAGUAUGCAUGAGUAACCAAAAGUUUCAUAACCUUUUACCAUUUCUCAUCACUUCAAUACAUAAUUCAAUUACUAUCCUAUAAUGGUUGUAUCUCAUUAAGCCAGCUUCAAUUCACAAUAAAGUUUAAUUUUUAUUAAUUAAUCACACAAUUAUAAUGUUUAUGUGAUAACAUACUUGUAACCCAAUACUUGUAUUUCCAAAAUCAUAGAAAAUACAAGAAAAAUAUGCAAAAAUACACUAAAAAUACACGUAUUUAGGGCUUUGUAUGUAUUUUCACAUCCAUAAAAUCAUCAAACGUAUAAAAUAAAUACACCACAAGAUAGAAAAUGAACAUACGAAUCCAACGCAGCCAACCAUGCGCCGAUCCGAUGCUCCACGCGCUUGCACGCACCACCUAAGUGCAUGGCGCAUGGAGCCCACAAGCGAGCGUAUCUUAACCGGUCAAAACUAGUCCAACCGGUAGCGGUCAGACCGGUUCCCGGUUCGACUAGUUGAUCGGUUCGGUCAACUGUUGACCGGGUCGAGUCGGGUCAACAAGUUGGGUCGGGUCGGGUUGGCCGCCAAUCGGUCCGAUCGCUGAUGUCACUAUGGCGUCAGCAUACGCGCGUGUGUCGCACGUGCAAGCCGUGCCCCACGUGUGAGGGCGCGUGACCGCGCGUGGGGCGCGUCUCCUACACCCUGACAGAGCGUGGCCGCGCGUGAGGGCGUGUGCGGAGUCCUCCGGCGAUGCGCCACCCACGAAUCUGCUCAUCUCGUCGAGCCCAGUCCGAAUUUGUGAUUUAAUUUUAUUUUUAUUGAACAAAAAAUCACGAAAAUCACAAAUUAUGGCAAAAAUUUUAUGUAUUCGAGUUCUAGGAUUAUGGUUACUCUGAUACCACAUGUUGGAUGCAAAUCGCACAAUCCCAAGAUCUCCAUAACCAUAACAAGAACAUGCAUAAUUGAGUAGAAAGAUUAACGCACCUAUUUUGGGAUCCAUCAUUCUUGAAGUGGAAGCGGAAACACAAUAUUCCACACGCAAGUCAUUCUCCUCUAUUGCCCUCCGUAUCAUUGGCUCAAUGAGGCAAUCCCCUCAUGUUUAGCAUUAGGUAAAUGCUCCUUAUGUGAUGAUAUAUGUGAGAAUUAGGGUUAGAGGAGAGAUUUGAGCACUAUUUAUAGAGUUUCCAGCCAGGCCCCCUCAUUACGGGCCAAGCUCAACUCAGCCCACACUAGACAGCCCCAUAUUAGACUAAUUAAGAAAUAUUCUAUCUCAUCUUAGAUCAACCCUGUUUUACGGUAAUUAUAAAAAAAUAAAUUAUAAUAUCAAUUAAUAUAAUCCACAUUAGGAAAACUCUUACAUACCCAUCUCUCCAAACCCCCAAAUUGCCCCUCAAUUUGCCAUCAAAACUGCUCCUUUGCUGGAUCUCAAUCCUUGUGUACGAUCACCAGGACAAGCUGCUAUUGCAGGUUGGGCAUGUUUAUUUGGUUUCCCGUGUCGAAUUCGAAUAAGAAUUGAGGUCGAUGUUGAUGUCUAUUCAUGUUACUGCGAGAGUUUGUUUAUUUUCAUGGGUUCUGUUAUUUUCGAAUUAGUUGCAAUUGACUUCUUUUCAUUCGUGUUGGAAUCGGGGAACUGUGCUUGUAGGGGCACCCAAAGUGGGUCCUGCUUCUCUAUUCAUGCAUGCUUUAUCUCUACGUCGACAUGAUUGUGGGGCUGAGCAACGCCGCCGCGUGCCGUCCUCAGCAUCGAGCUUCAGAUGCCCUCCGACGAGCCCUACCUUUCCACAUCAUUCCAAGAUUUCUGGGGCCGAAGGUGGAACCUCACCGUGACCAACGCCCUGCGGCACACCGUGCACAAGCCCCUAAAGUCGUUCCUCGAACCGCACUUGCAGGCCACGUGGGCGACGGCGGCUGCGGUCAUGGCGGCGUUCCUCAUGUCCGGGCUGAUAUGACGUGACACGUGCGAGGCCUACUUGGGAGGUGACGGGGUUCUUCGUGCUGCAGGGGGCAUGCGUGGUGGUGGAGGUGGCGGCGAAGGCGGCGGUGGGGGAGAGGUGGAGGCUGAGCAAGGCGGUGUUGACACCACUAACGGUGGGGUUCAUGGCGGCGACCGCCAUGUGGCUAUUCUUCCCGCAACUGAUCAGGAACGAGGCGGACGCGAGAGCCAUUAAAGAGUGCAAGGCUUUCGUGGAGGGGCUGAGGCCCAAGUUCUGACACGCGGUACGAGGCAUUUGGGGUAAAUUUAACGUGCACAACGUUGUUCUUACGAAAUCGGUUAAUCACAUUUAAAAAAAUUUCAAAGCUAACAUUGGGUCCUCAAUUACUAGGAAAAAAAAUUGACAUUGGUCUUUAAGAAAACACAUUCUUUAGUCUAUGUAUAUGUUUUUCAUAAUGUAAUUAAUUAUAUCUGACUUUCACUACAUUCGCAUUCAAUGAAUCGGUACAAAAAUUAACCCAAAUAGUUGCUCAUCAUAAUCUUUUUUGUUACUCAUUAUUCUAUUGGUCAGGAUAAUGAAUGCGGUCCUUAAUUCCCAAUGAUGUUUUUCUUUUGUCUAUUGGUUGUGCAAUUAGACCUACCUAGAAGAUUAUAUAAUUGUCUUAAUGUGGUGCGGCAUUGUUAUCAUAUGUAUAGAAAUACAAUUUGCUCUUCGACCAUGCAAAUUCCAACUCUCACUAAUAAAAAAAUUGCCCUUUGAAGCUCGAUAAAAUUACAUUCCUACUGUCAUGAGUUUUCAGACAACCUUUUUGCUCCAUUUUGUCGGAGAUUGUAUCGUUACUCUUUCAAAUAAUGUUAUACUAGGAUCAGUCUACUAUAACAUGAAGACAUCAAGUUGUUAUGCUUAGAAUCGUCGGAUCAUCACAAUUAAUUUUCAGCCAUUGAUCAUUAACGGUUGAGAGUCAUUAUUGGAGAUGCCUCACAGCAUAAUAGCCUAGUUCAUAUAACUAGGUUGUCAAGAAAUUUGUUGAACUAGAAUUUAGGUUCAGAGAAUGUUUAUGCUCCAUGGUAGAUGCUCAUUCCUUUAGAGCGACGCAAAAUUGAAUAAAAAGUGAGGACGUAAUUACAAACAGCUUAAGUUAGGGGACUGCGCAAAUAAAAUCAAAUCUGAGGACUCAAUAGAAAAAAGAGUGCAAGUUGCAACGAUCCAAAAGUGGUACUCUUUUGGGAAAACUCCAUCUCAACUUUAUUCCCGAUAUCGUCCUGCAUUUGUCCCUUUAUUCUUCCUCUUUUUUUGUUUUUAUCAAAUAUUUCCCUCACUUUAGAGUCCUCCAAUUUGCACUUUAAUUUUCGUUAACAGAUUUCGAUUGGGCCAAAAUGCCACUACUCUUUAAAAAGUGCCAAACGUACUUUCUAAGCCCACCUCGAUCUUCUUUGAUUGAGAGAAGGUAACAUACGGCACAGUAUUCAAUGGUUAGGCAGCAUGACAUCAUAAGCUAACUUUAGCAUUAAUUUUUUUUUUCAAAUCCAAUAAAAAUUGAUACUUGUUCAUGACGCGGCACAUAAAUGAAAACAUCUUUCUCUGGUCGCAACAGUGGGGGAAUCUCUCUUUCUUUGCCCUGUUCUGUUGCAGCAAAUGGACGAGCCGCAACAAAGUGAGUGGCUUGGCCAUGGACGGCAACGACUGCGAGCCACCGCAAUGACAAUGGGAUGGCUGGGCCAUGGAUGUGCGGUAGUGGUCGGCUUGGAUGCAGUGCCGGCGACUCUGCUGGUGACUCUGAUGGAGGGAGUGGCCGUGGAUGGAGAAUGAAGAAGAGACCAACAAAGAAGGGCUGGUUUUUAAUUCUUUUAUUUGUUUGCCACGUCAUAGACAUGUCAAUUAUUCAUUGGAUUUCAGUACAAAAAUGCAUGCCACAUCAGCUUAUGAUGCGAUUUUAACUAACCACCGAAUAAUUUCUAGCAAUUUAUCAAAAAUUAUAGAAAUAGCUUAGAGUGUGUUUGAUUGGAUUUCUAGGGAAAAUUUUGGGAAAAUGCAAAAGAUUUUAAGUUAAAAAAGUUUUCAAAAAUGAAAAUUAUGUUUGUUAAAUUAUAAUUUAAAAAUCCAUUGUGAAGUACUUUUGAGUAAAAUAGUACUUGGAUAAGGAUUUUAAUUAUUUAAAAAAAGAAAAAAAACAAUUGGCCCUUUGCCGACUAAGGGUAGGCCAUCGCCGACUAAGGGCAAGCCAUCGCCGAUAAUCCAGAUCUAUUGUCGAUAACCGUCGUCUAAGGUCACAAGACCUCAAAUAGCUCCUGGAGACCAUUGGCAAGGGCCACUUCGGGUCGAGUGACCCUAGUGCGGGUCAUGUGCUACUAGGAGUCAUGUGACCUACGUAACCCCUUACAACUUCAAAAGUCACUCGAACCAGACGAGGGCUAGCUGGGUCAUGCGACCUUCAUAGUCGUAACAACUUGCAUAACUCGUUACAGCUCGGAAGGUCACUCGAAUCCAACAAGGGCCAGUUGGGUCUUGUGACCUACGUAACCCCUUACAGCUUCAAAGGUCACUCCAACUCAAUGAGGGCUAGCUAAUUCGCGCAACCCUCGCUAGGGGUCACUUGACCCCAACAAGGGCUAGUUGGGUUUCUUAACCCCAAGUAGCCCCUUGCCGAGGUCAUGUGACCACCGAGGGUUGUCUGCCAUCUAGAUCAGGCGACCUCGUCCAACCAUGUGAGGGUCGUGCAACCUAGAUGAUACUCGCCUACACGGUCGCUUGGGUCGCUGCGACUAGGGAUGAGCAAUUCCAGGUUCCGAUUCGGUUCCGUCUAGAACCUGGAACCUACCCUCAGGUACAGGUUCCUCAUUUUUUGAAACCUGAAACCUACCCUCGGGUACAAGUUCCUCAUUUUUUGGAACUUGGAACCUACCCGUCAGAAUCAAGAACUGGAACCUACCCUGUCACAAGUUCCAGGGUCAGUUCCAGGUUCCUACAUGUUUUUUUUUUUCAUUUUUAGAUUUGAACUACAAUGUACGCGCUUUACCCAAAAAAAAAAAAAAACUAUAACGUACGCGCAUACUCUACGAUAACUUCCCACAUCUUAGCAAACAUAGUACAUACCAAUGCCAACUGCCAAGAAUUUGGACAUACAUAAUCAAAAUCAAUAAGAAGUUUCCAAAGAGGAAAGGAGGGGCUUGAUUAACUAUAAUUAUUGUGCCCACAUAUGUCAAUAUAUGUACACUAAAGCUUAAAUGUCAUAUGCCUUAUCAACUGAGUUAAAUGAAAAUGAUUAAGCAAAAUAUACUAAGGAGAUGAAAAACUAGAAGUACCAACAAGAUGAUGAAGCACAUGAAAAUGAUGGAGCAAAAUAUAUUAAGGAGAUGAAAAACCAGUUUUGCCAACAAGAUUUCAAAUUUUCAUCCACUCCAUAGUGUGAACUUCGCAACAUUUCCCUAUAAUUCCUUUGGCACAGCAAAACCCUACAAAGACAUGGAUGAAAAUCAGUCAAAAUCCUAAGUAAAGACACAUCCAAAAAUCAAUAUCGAUAAUACUCCAUGAAGCAUGUCAUUUUACCCAUCUAAAGUCUCCUAAAUUCUUUGACAACAUAGUUCAAAAAUUCAAUGUACAUAAGAGUAGCCUGCAUUAAGAUUACGAUAAACAAAGUUGCUCAUCAAUCAACUUCUGCACAGUUAAAGCAGCACAAAGCCAACAAAAAACCUUGCUUGACUUCUCAACCGCUGGACCCAUUACAAAUGUGACACCACCAACUCUAUUUAUCGACGAUAAUCUUCGCAUUAAGACCAACCAUAUCUGAAAAAGAAGAAGAAGAAGAGGUUAAAUAAAAUAUUCACUUAUCAGAUAUACAAAAAGAAUUACAAUAUAUAAAGAUAUAAACAUUACUUACCCAACUAAAAUUGUUCCGCAUUCUCGAUACACUCUUCAACAUCAAGCGGUACACGAACGGCUCUCAACCAAUCUUGAGUGCAAAUCAAAGCUUCCACUACUUUGGGAGUUAAAGAACUUCGAAAGCCAUCAAGCACACGACCCGAUGUACUAAAAGUUGACUCUGAAGCAAUGUUAGUUACAAGAAUUGACAAAAUAUCUCAAGCCAUCAAAAUGAUCUUAUAUUUUGAGCCAUUAGUCUUCCACCAAAUCAAAAUGUCAAGACCAAGAUCCUUUUCAUUUUUUCUUGAAAAUACUCAUCAAGCUCGAACUUGUUGUUAUUGCACCCUUGUUCAUUCAAGUAUAAAAACAUUUUCUUCCAAGCUUGGCCGUCAUAUUUCUUUAUUCCUUCAUUACCACCCAUAUUGGUAUUGGAAUUGGAACUACUACUACUUGCACCCAAAUUAUGGUCACCAAAAUCUUGAUCACUUGAAAUAAGAUAAGAUUGUUCAUAAAAUUCAUACAAACGCUCCAAUGCAUCAUUUACCUUAUAAUGCAUCUCUUUAAUUUUUUAUUCAUCAUCAUAAAUUUGUCCAUACAAGAAACUCACAUAAUUUAACUUGACUCUAGGAUCUAACACAACGCAAUCAACACCAUCAUAUUCACUUUAUUCAAGCUUUCAUAAUAUUUGUCAAAUUUUUCUUUCAUUUUCACACACAUCGCUUGAAGCUUAAGAUCCGAAGCAUUGACCGCAUCUUUCAAAUAUCUAUACAAAAGAGCUAUCCCUUCAAAAUAAUCAUUUGAAGUAACAUAUGAUGUCCCAGACAUCUUAUUGGUGGCAUCAUAGAAUACUUUUAGAAAAUCCGAAAGAAUAAUAGCAUUUUCUCAAUCAUCAUCACGAAGAGUUUCAUGAUUAAGCUCACUUACAAAAGAUAAAUCGUGAUCUUCCAUUCUUUCGAAAGUUUUUCUAAACUUUAUGGUGGUGUCUAACAUGAGGUAAGUGAAGUCUCAUCUAGUGGCAACGUCAAGAACUACUGAACCCUUAUAAGUAAUCUUUUUCUCUCUCAAUGCAAGAUUGAAAUCAUUAGGCUCUCGUGGGAGAACUCCUUACAUACCUAACCACAUUUCGGAUACGUGCAAUAGAGUCAAGUACCGUAGUCAAUCCAUCUUUCACGAUCAAAUUUAAUAUAUGAGUUGUACACCUCAUGUGCAAAAUACUAUCAUCUAAUAUCAACGAUCUUUGUUUUGAAAAAAUUUCCCUCAAAUAGCUAAUUGCAACAUCAUUGAAGCUAGCAUUAUCCACGGUAAUUGUGGAUAUCUUUUUUUUUUCUAUUUCUCACUCCUCAAUGCAUUUCUCCACCAUUUUCCCAAUCUCCUUACCCCUAUGACUAUGCAUCACCACAAAGUUGAUGAUUCUUUUAUGCAACUUCCAAUUUUCAUCAAUAAAAUGUGCAGUGAAACACAAAUAAUUCAGAUUUUGAUUGAAACUCCAUGUAUUAAUCGUGAGUGCGAUCCUAGAAUUAAUCUUUCCAAAAUAAUUCUUCAAAGAAGUUAUUUUACAUAAAAACAACUUCAUGCAAUCCUUUGCUACUGUGAAACGUAAUACAUAUUUGAAGAGAGGUUGUAACUCAGUAACAUAUUCAUGAAAUCCAACACGCUCAACCAAAGAAAAAAGUUUGCUCAUCAAGGAUGAUGAACCAAGUAAGCAUGUGCCUACAACGUUCUUGAUUAAAUGACCAUAUCAAUAAGAAGCUACCAGUACUAGAAUCUCCUCCUGCCUUGCCAGCCAUGUUGACAUUACGUGGUGCAAAGAAUUUCUGCAUCUUAUCUACAUUACGGGAAAACCUCUUAUAUGUGGUCAAGUGCUUCCUCAUUGCAAAAGUACCAUUAGCAACAUGGUACUUAAGCAUGAACCCACAAUGAAUGCACUUCACUUGAUAUAUUUUUCCAUCCUUAUCACUAAUUCUCGAAUAAUGAUUCCAGCAUUCGGAUAUAUAUUUCUUAUUAUGAGGAAGAUAAGAACUGGGUACCUUAUUUGUGGCACUCGAGGUAGAGAGUGCAUCUUCUUCAAUUUCAUCGCCAGAAAACUCCUAUUUCAUAAUCGGAGUCAUCUCCUCACAUCCCUCCACCUCUAUUGAUGUGUUAUCUUGAUAUAUUAAUUUCGCACUACACAACAAUAAUAGAAUAUAAUUAGACAUUUCAAAACAGAAUGUGAAUUGAGUUAUAGAAUAUGUAGGCAAUUGCUAAAAACCAAAUCAAUACACAACUUUCCCCUCAAAAAAACGCUCUUAAGUAUUGUAGACAUUAGCUUUUGCUAGAUGAUAAUAAUCUGUGUAUUUUCAUAGAUGAUAACUCGUGCGUAAAUGACACAAGCUAAAAGGAGUCCAAUUUGAUCAUGCAUAUAUCCAUUAUGUGGCACAUUGUUAUCAUUCUCUUAUAUUACCUCUGCAAUUAAGGACCAGCAAUCCAGAAAAGCCACCCAAAACAAAGAAGUUAAGCAUCUAGAUUGCCAAAAUUCAAAAACACCGGCUUCCCCAAAACAAAGAAUUGAUCAUAGCAGUUUCAUUAAGCAAGUAGUCAUAGACCACAGCUUGCAUUUCUUUUCUUGUUCCAUUAAAUUGUGAAGGCAGUGACAACUUUGCUUUAUGUAGAAGUACCAGCUUUACUUGAGCAGGUUACAGAAGGAAAAUGAACUGAAAAUUUCUAAUGGGGGGAUGAAGCAUUCAAAUCUAAACCCACAAGAUGCCGCCAUUGGCAUAAUGAUGCUAUCAGAACUCCAUCAAUUUGAAAUUGUCAGCAUAAUUAUAUGGUACAUUAGAACUCCAUCAAUUUCCAGCAAAAUGAUGCUACAAAAUACAAACGGCAACUCAAAAUUUGCUACCAACAACUUGCUUAUCCAGAAUUUGAACUCCAAACAAUGAAAUUGACACCAGAGGGACUAUAAUCAUUGAGCAAUCUGGUCUUAGAAAUUAGGAAUCAAUCACUCACUCCCUCCACUGGAGCAGGAAAUGAAAUUCAUAGCAUUUGAUGGUAUUACCCCGAGAUCGUACCCUUGGAGUGAAGUUCCAGAAAUCCAAUUUCACCGAGCGAGCAGCGUCCGGCGCUAAGCAGGGACGUCGGUCACUAGUCUUUGGGGCAACGACGUCAGGCAUCGCAACUGCUGGCGUUGGGUCGUCAGAGCAGAGGCGAAGACAGCAGUAGCGGCGUCGUAGGUAAGAAUUGGAAACCUAUGGUACGUUUGUUUGCGUUUCUGUUUAAAAAUUGUUCCAGGGAACAGAAAUAGAAAAAAGUGUUUCUGUUCCGGGGAACAAUUUUUGAACAAAAAAACGCGUUUGGUAAACUUGUUCCGGGAAUAAAAAAUAAACAGAAACACGUUUGGUAAAUUUGUAUAAUUUUUUUAUUUCUUUUAUUUUUUCUAUUUUUUUUCUUAUUUUUCCUUUUUUUCUUUUUUCUUUUUCCUUUUUUCUUUUUUCUUCUUUUGGCCGGUCGCCGGCCUCAGCCAUGGCCGGUGACCGGCCGACGAGGGCCGGCGGCCUAACCCAAUAACGGAUAAGGAUUGACGACACCUGCGAGAAACGAGCUCCAUUGUGAGGUUGGCCAUGUUUUUUGUAUGGAUUGAGGUUAGGUUUUGUUAGUGGUGGUUUGUUUUUGGGUUCGGGAGGCGUUAUUUUUUUAAUUUGAGUUUUUUUUUCGCAGGUUAAAGUUAUAUGGUCGCUUAUUGUUUCUUUCUUUUAUGUUUUUUAGGUCUUUUUUGUCGUUUUCUAAAAUAUCAUUAGUUGAUCUUUUGUUCUCUUCGUUUUGUUUUGACUUUAUGGAUGGGUGCUGUUUUGUGGUACUGANNNNNNNNNNNNNNNNNNNNNNNNNNNNNNNNNNNNNNNNNNNNNNNNNNNNNNNNNNNNNNNNNNNNNNNNNNNNNNNNNNNNNNNNNNNNNNNNNNNNGCCCAUGCCGAGGCCGGCGACCCGGCCGAAGAAAAAAGAGAAGAAAAUAAGAAGAAAAAGAAGAAGGAAAAUGGAAAAGUGUCCCUCAAAUGUGUUUCAGAAAUAAGAAACACAAAUUUGUUGUUUCUUAUUUCUGUUUCUUUUUUGUUCCUGGGAACAAAAGAACAAAAAAGGAACAGAAACGCACCCAAACGCGUUUCUGUUCCUUUUUUGUUCCCAGGAACAAAAAAACAGAAAAAGUGUUCAAAAACAAAAAAAAAAAAAAAAAGAAACACAAACAAACAGAGCCCUAGUGACCAGCAGCUACGAUCGGACGGCCUAAGGAUGGAAUCACGGCAGGAACGAUGGCUUCUGGCGUCUGGUUGCAGCGGCGGUGGAGCAAAGGAAGACCCAACAGCAUGGGUGUCGGGGCUUCUAGCGCGAGCAAGGACGUUGAUUGCUGGUCUUCGAGGCAACAACGACAGGCGUCGUGACUACUGGCAUCGGGUCGUCGGAGCAAAGGCGAAGACAGCAGCAGUGGCGUCGUGAGUCAGAAUUGGAAACCUAGUGACCAGCAGCUAGGGGUGUGCAUGGUCCAAGCGGGCGGUUCCCGACCUAGAACCGAGAAUCGCCCGCUAAGGACCGAUUCCGAAAAAUUGGAACCGGGAUCCGCUCAUUUGUUGCAUGGAUCCACCUGGGAACCGGACCACCGGUCCGGUCCAAUUCCAGGGUGGAUCCAUGGAGCCGAUCUAGAUGCGAAGGUGAGCUAUGGCGUCGUGGUGACGGGCGAGCGGACAAAGGGUGCUCGUGGUUGCUAGCGCGGUGGUCGGCGUGGUGUGGCGUCGCGAGUCACUAGGGUUUUGACGUAAGGCAGCGGACAAGCUCGAUAGAUCGGGCUACGUCCGUUCGCCUCGCGCAACUCCAAGCCAAGAUCCUUGGGAAACCGACCCCAUAUCGGAAAAGUCGAGAACAAAGGGGGACGAAAUCUACCGUGAUUUUGUCGCGAAAGAGAAGUCGAGGUGGGUCGUCGGCUACGGUUCAAGUGUGGUGGUUAACGGCGACUCUCUCCCUCACACUCUACCCUUACUCGCAGCUCUCAGAUCUCACUCGAUCUCCCCCUCUCUUUUUAACGUCUCACAGAUCUCUCUCUCUCUCUCUCUCUCUCUCUCUCUCUCUCUCUCUCUCUCACAUCAUCUCUACUUGACCCCCCUUCAUCGAGCUCCAUGAGGCCCUAUUUAUAGGCUGAAGGGUCAGGUCGACAAGGGCAUUUCCACUACCGAUCCUGGGCACGCCGACCAGCCUCCCUCUUGGCCGAACCGGUGUCUCAGCCCGUCUUCUCUGCAUAGGCCUGCUCGACAUCGAAGGCGUCCGCCAAGACAUCCCCUCCGUCCGGGUUUCUCGCCAGAUCUCGCGCUACUCCAUUCGGCAGCAUUGAUGGCUCCUAUGAGGCGUCCCCUCCGUCGUCGAUCUACCCUCCUCUCUCUCUGCCCUAGGUCGUCCUACGUGCCUUUAGUCUUCACCGAGCGUGGUGUCCACUGUCCAGCACGAGGAAGGAAGAAGGAAGAAGAAGAGGAGAGGGCCAGACCGCAAAAAAGAUGAAAAAUGGAUUGGGCCAGCCCGCGUGAGGGAAAAGAAGAAAAGAGGGGAAAAGAGGGAAAAUGGUCCGGUAUUGCUAGGGUUUGUUUUAGUAUAUUUUUUUAAUAUUAAAUAUUAAUCGGUUCGGUCCGGGUGGGCGGGUGGACGGAUCCGCCCAUGGAAUUGGGAACUGGACCGAUACCCACCGGUUCCCAUAAAUUGGAACCGGGAACCGGACCGGUUCCCUCAAGAACCACUGGUUCCGAGGGUUCCGAUCUGGUUUCGGGCGGUCCGGGGUUCCUGGGUAUUUUGCACACCCCUACCAACAGCUACGAUCGGACAGCCUGAGGACGGAAUCGCAGCAGGCACGAUGGCUUCUACCGUCUGGUUGCAGCGGCAGUGGAGCAAAGGAGGACCCAGCAGCAAGGGUGUCGCGAAUUCUGGCGCGAGCAAAGGCAGUGGGUCGCGAGCGGAGACGAGCUCGGCUCAAAUCUGCCUACGUCAGGUAGUUGCGGCGAGCAAGAGUCAGAGCAGCAUUGGCGACAGGCAGAGGCAAAGCACGGCAGCAACGGGCGUAAGGAAUUCUCUUAUCUUACGCAACAGUUCAUUGUUUUAAGAUGGUCUCAUCGCUUUUACGUUUUUGUCACUUCAUCCGCAGUGAUUGGAGCAAUUCUUUUCAUGCUUUGAUUGGUAUCACACGAAACAUAUACAUACAACUAUACAAGUAAAGCACCUUGGAGUCUGUGGAGAAAGUUAUACGACUUGAUUCAGUCAAAAUUAACUUCCUUUAUUAUUAGAGGAUAAGGUAAAGACCUUGCGAAAUGGCAAUCUAAAAUUAAUUACGUUGAAAGCAACACGCAGAUAUCAACAAUUUGAAGAUUUUACAUUCAAAAGCGAGUGUUUUUUGUCCAAAAAAAUUAUUGGCUUAAUAUCAACAUUAGCUGUACAAUCCUUGCCUUGCUAUUUCUCACAUCCUACUUUUACUUUCUCAGAAAAAAGAAAAGAAAGAAAGAGUACGCAAUGAGAGAUAAUGACAGAAGGAUAUAGGUUGAGUAGAAAUGCAUUUCCGCACCGGGUUUCAUUUCGAUUAGAGAGACACACGUGAUAGACUGAGUAGACAAGAAGACUUUUGCACCGUAAUGUCCUUUUCGGGUUCUAUAUUGUUGCAAAAGCCCACUACAUGGGACAUUUACUUUUGAAUUAAAAAAUUUGCGACAGGCAAUCUGCAAAGAGCCAUAUUUUCUUGCAUCGUUGAUCGAAGGAAAGUUUCUUCAUUCAUACCUUUGACUAGUGUAUCGCACCUUACAAGUCAUGAUAUUAUAAAUAUUAUCACCACAUAAAAAAAAAUAAACGAGAGCACCAUUCAGAAGUUCAGUUGAAGGAAUUUCCCUGAAACCAGGGUUGGGGAAAAACAUGGGCUAUUUGCAAAUCCGGAUGAAUGAUGCUUGAUGCAACGGUGACGUGAAAUACUUUCACACGUUCCGGUUGUUGAUUUUCCAGUUGGUUAUUCAUAAAAUAAUGGAAACCUGAGUAGACGUUCCUCCGCAGUCACCAUGUCCAAAGUUGAAACAGGUGCAUAAUCAUUCUAGGAGCACAAUACUGUACCCGCUAGUAUUUAUUGAAUUAAAACAUAACCAUGCGUGCUUGCAUAACUUCCUCAUGUCUAAUAUACGUUCUCAUACCCGGAGCUGAAUCCGACGUCUCCAAUAAGAAAAAGAUGGGAAACUCGAGAAAUAGCACUUGCUAUACCGAGCUAAGGGAUAGAAUUUGUUGCCAAUUAAAGUGGGUUUUAUUCAUUCACGUGCAAACAUCAGUGGACAUUUGAGACGACUCGUACUUGAAAUCACCAGAAGAACCAUCUGAAACGCAACAAAGCUGCUCAUGACAGUGGAGAAACCAUUUUAUUCAACCAUUAUUGCAGAAGCUUUUAAGCUUCUACGAGUUAAAUGGCAUACAUUCUCCUACAUUCCCAGCAGGAUGAUGGACCCAACUGAGUCCAUUAUCUAGUUCUUGACAUCUUCGGUUUCUUCUGGAGGGUGACCACCAUGAUGACCGCCGCCGCCAUGACCACCGUGGCCGCCUUGACCGCCGUGGCCGCCGUGGCCGUGCUCGCCACCUUCAUACCCCUUUCCACCUUGGCCAUGUUCGCCGUGACCCUUGCCAUGGCCGUAGCCAGGUCCAUAUCCUUGGCCGUAGUUAGCCUCCUUCACGCUCUCCUCUGAAAUAUAAACGCAGAGUAUGUGAUCAUAUCCGUCUCCACUAACAGAUAACAUGUAAUCUAGCUUACUGUGUACGAAUACGUAAAGUACUAAGUUAAGAUGCAACUAUUGAAACUGCUACCAUUUCGUUGACCUCUUUAUGAUGUACAUCACAUCUUGAUAUUCUACAGCAUACCUUUCUCAGGAUUCAUAAAUUAAUUAAUCUACCGUGAACAACGGAAGCUCACAAGACGUUGGCAGAACCCUCAUAAUCAAAUUUGCAAUUCGCUCUGUCGGCCUUUAACAAACACGAGUGCUCGCACAACGGACAAUCACACGGAAACAUAUAUACACGUCAAACGUGAGAAUGCGAUUCCAUGUUUCCCAUCAAACUGAAGAGAACUAGAUAAGUAAAUUGAGGGAAGACUUCAUUGUCGAGAGCACUCACGUGACUGAGUCUCCUCAGCAAGGUCACGAGCCGAGACCUGCGCGGCCAUGAGAACGACAACGGCCAGAAGCAGGCCGCACAGGAGGAAAACCCUGGAGGAAGCCAUUUUCAUCGCUCAAAGC
rnacentral:lncRNA from 1 species